AGCGCUGCCUCUCACUCUUUGUAAAGUUGUAAACCAAAACCGAAGUUGUUUUGCAACAAUGCACAUUGCCACACUCUAUAAAGGUGUUGGUACCUGCUUGGGGCGUCCCUUUAGCGUCCACUUACACGCCCACCCUUCACUCAUUGGCGGACUUCUCCCCCGCAUGCCUGUCCUCUCUCACGUCUGCCUUCUCUCUCUCUCUCUCUCUCUCUCUCUCUCCAUAUAU